rnacentral:rRNA from 1 species
GAUUAACGCUGGCGGCGUGCAUAACACAUGCAAGUCGAACGAAGAAACUUAGUAGACUUCUCUGGAAAGUUACUAAGCGGCGUAGUGGUGAACGGGUGAUUAACUCCCGAGUAACCUGCCUUACACAAGGGGAUAGGCUUUUGAUACGAAGUAUAAUAUCCUAUCAAACCAUACAAGCAUAUGCUAGAAUGGUCAAAGUGAUAGUGGUGUAAGAUGGACUUGCGUCUGAUUUGCUGGCUGGGGAGAUAAAAGCACACCAAGGGAACGAUCAGUAGACGGGUUGGGAGAGUGGUCCGCCCCGUUGAGGCUGGGAACCGGCCCGGAAUCCUACGGGAGGGAGCAGUGGUGAACUUUGCACAACGGGGGAAGGCCUGAUGCAGCGACGCCGCGAGAUUUAGAAGGCCUUCGGGUUGUAAAGAUCUUUUGUAUGGGAAGAAAAUGACAGUACUAUACGAAUAAGGUCCGGCUAAUUACGUG